rnacentral:rRNA from 1 species
GAUCCUGGCUCAGAUUGAACGCUGGCGGCAGGCUUAACACAUGCAAGUCGAACGGUAACAUAAAGAAGCUUGCUUCUUUGAUGACGAGUGGCGGACGGGUGAGUAAUGCUUGGGAAUCUAGCUUAUGGAGGGGGAUAACUACGGGAAACUGUAGCUAAUACCGCGUAGUAUCGAGAGAUGAAAGUGUGGGACCUUCGGGCCACAUGCCAUAGGAUGAGCCCAAGUGGGAUUAGGUAGUUGGUGGGG